GAAAUCGUAGCUUAACAAAAAUAAAGCAUAACACUGAAAAUGUUAAGAUAGCCAAGCUCUUUUUCC
rnacentral:tRNA from 1 species